UACAGAGGUCCCGAGCGUUGUUCGGAUUCACUGGGCGUAAAGGGUGCGUAGGUGGUUGGGUAAGUCUGAUGUGAAAUCUCCGGGCUCAACCCGGAAAUGGCAUUGGAUACUAUUCGGCUAGAGGUUUGGAGGGGGGACUGGAAUUCUCGGUGUAGCAGUGAAAUGCGUAGAUAUCGAGAGGAACACCAGUGGCGAAGGCGAGUCCCUGGACAACACCUGACACUGAGGCACGAAAGCGUGGGGAGCAAACAGG
rnacentral:rRNA from 1 species